GCAUGCAGGAAGCACCUACCUGAAUUGAAUACAGACAGGUCUGGAGCCAAACCUGCAACUCUAGGGAAGCAAAGAGAGUUGAUUGGGAUAUUGAGCCUGCAAAUACAAAGAAGAGCCUAGAAAGGAACCAAACAUUCCUGAGCAUCGCCAUUCCUAGUGGCAGAAAAAAAAUCUGUGAAAUCUGGAAAAGUGUCCAUUUUGGUUCUAGUACGUGUGAAUAAAGAAUAAGAAAACC